UGGGGAAUAUUGGACAAUGGGGGCAACCCUGAUCCAGCCAUGCCGCGUGAGUGAUGAAGGCCUUCGGGUUGUAAAGCUCUUUUGGCGGGGACGAUGAUGAUGGUACCCGCAGAAUAAGCCCCGGCUAACUUCGUGCCAGCAGCCGCGGUGAGACGAAGGGGGCUAGCGUUGUUCGAAAUUGCUGGGCGUAAAGCGCGUGUAGGCGGUUGUUAUAGUCAGGUGUGAAAGCCUUGAGCUCAACUCAAGAAAUGCAAUUGAUACUGGACAGCUUGAGUACCGGAGAGGAUAGUGGAAUUCCCAGUGUAGUGGUGAAAUACGUAGAGAUUGGGAAGAACACCAGUGGCGAAGGCGGCUAUCUGGACGGUUACUGACGCUAAGGCUCGAAAGCGUGGGGAGCAAACA
rnacentral:rRNA from 1 species